rnacentral:lncRNA from 1 species
AUGGACACAGAGGUGAUUAGACCUGGGGCAAUGCCAUUUGCGACCACGAGACACGAGACAGACAGUGCUCCACGUGUCAGCGUCAACAGAGUACAAACAGGAAGUUGUCCGGGUUUAAAGGCACACGUUUUUAUAUUUGUCUCGCAUGGCCGCACUCAAAGGUGUGAACCUGAGCGACCAACAAAGUACGUUUCCUUGUUGAUAUUUCAGCAGAUAUUCUUUCCGUGUUUACUGAAUGCGUUUAGGUUGUCCUCUGAUCCGACCAGUACUGUGUUUGAAGCACACGAGGCCUUAAGGAGUUUGACCCAGAUCACACCGAACACAAUAAAAGCCGUAACUCUAUAUUAUCCUGAAAUAAGUUUCAGGAAGGGAACAGAGUGUCACGAAGCUGCACUAGGAAACCCAAAACAGCUCCUGUGUAAAUACUACCUUACCUCUCCCAUAGAGGUCCAGCAACCUGCAUGCUAAGAGUGUAACACUUCAAUUUAACCGUAAGAACUGCAGUGCCGGUGUAACACACACAUAAAAAAUAAAAUAAAAAAAAAGAUAUAUAUAUAUACUGUAUGUAUUGCUAGAAAAAAAAAAACUAUUAACUUGAAAAAGUCAAAAAUAUUCUUAUGUAUAGCUACAUACAUAGCGGACACACUAUAGAGGUCAUAACAACCGUUCUCCCAAAGUACCGUCGACCCCCUCUCUUUCAUAUUUAUUCUAAAAACCGCUGCACAAUGUUCAUCCCUUUGGUUGGUAAAGAAACCCGCUUGAUUUGCACUAUACGAGACAUAUAGUGCUUAAUGCGUGAGUGGAAAACAGGAAGAGUCACAGAAAACCCGUGCACAACCGCACCAACGCUCUCGGCGCUUUGCGGUCUUUGCUUUCCUCUCCGCAAAGUUGAAUGUCCUCGAGGUGGACAGGCUCACGUUUUGUUCAUGUGACUGUCCCUGCGAGGGUGACCCCCCUCAUCUGCCCCAGAUGCUGUCGAGAUGCCACGAUGAAGCUCAUCCUCCCCCCUGCCAACUUUUCAUCUCCGGAAACAUCUUGCCAAAGUUGAAGAGGUCGGUGGAAUCAACCUGCCAGAAAGCAGAGCCACAUGCUAACACCCCGAUACUUCUUUUUUCUUUCUCUUUUCACCAUUGCGAAAGCUGCUCACGACGCACCCUUUAUUUGUUUCGGUGCUGGGUUCAGUUCUUUGUUCAGGAGGGGCGGUGGGAUAGAUUGUGCACGGAUUUCUGCAUGCAGUCGGGACUGGGGAAGACAGUGCCCAGUGUUGACAGAAGAUAGUCGUGGCCAUUACCGAAAAAAGCCUGAAGGCUUGGGUCUGUGCCAAGGGCUUAACAAAGCUUGAGGGUUCGUUCCAGACAUACCAAGCCUUGUGUGUGUGUGUGUGCAUGUGUGUUCGUAUCUGGAGACGGAUGGUCUGCCGGCAGACUGGGACUUUAAGCGAGGUCUAGCAGGUGAUGGCAACACCGGGCCUGGUUGGAGAGGUUUUUGGGGGGUGGGUGAGGGACUUAAGUGCUAAGACUAAAUAAAAAAAACGGUGCAUUUGACGACGCUCGUCAAGCAAAAAGAUGACUUGAACUACGACUGGAGGGCUAUCUGUGACCGUCGGUUGUCCUGUCCAACCCUACUAUCACCGAUAAUCCUGUUCCAUUUUAGAAAACUGUAGAAGUGCCUAAAAAAUGCUCAUCGACAACACAUUCAUCCAGAGUGAAUCACUAAAAGUCACAGACACGACACGCCGGCUGUCAGAAGCUACAUGGACUUUUUCGGGGAAGACAUCACAUUUCGCGAGCGGUUACUGGGAAACCCGGCAACCGCUCAUUAACAUCACAAGUGACUUUAUCGAGACAAAAGAAGUUAAAGAAACGACAAAUCAAAAAUAGCUUUGUAGAAUGUUUGGUGACUUUCACGGCGUACCAUCGUUUCUUACCAUGGUUUGUGUAGUUUACAUGAGGAACGUGAGUGAGAAAAAAAAUGUUAUUGUAAACUGUGUAAUGUAUGUAAAGUGUCUCUUAUUUUGAGAGUUUAUAUUCAUGGUUCUAGAAAUGUAUUCAAAGUUAUUUAAAAAUUUGUGUUGUGUCUACUAUCAAGGUAUUUUUGAACGCCCCACAAACCCUCCACCAUCUCCACCUCCACCCAGAACAAUCAUUUGUCUUUUAGCCAAGAUUAUUAUUUUCAGACCAACCCUCUCAUUAAUUUUUGCAUAUUUUGAAUAGCGUGUUUUAACUCGUACUAAAUCUUAUUUCCCAUAUUUCAACAAUUCUGAUGUAAUUUCAUGGUGCUCGAGUAACAUUGACAAUCCACAAUCACACCUUUGAACAAGAGUGUCUCACUCUGGUUUCACUUUUGUGGUCUCAUCCACUCUGAUUGUCUCCACGUUCUGAUUUGUAUGUAAUAUUCGUGGAAGGUGGUAAAAGUUUUUAUUUUGUUGUAAUUUAUCUUACGUUACUCUUGGUCAAAUUUUAGUCAAAAACAAUGUUGUUAACUAUUCUAUUUUGAAAUGAAUGUAAUUUAUUGAGCUGUGCUACGUUCUGCACGGUUGGUCAUUUCAAGGUCUGACCUGUGAGGUCGACCAAUGAGAAGUCGCACACACGUCUGAGGGGUGGGGCUUAAAGGUCAACCCACCAAUGGAAAGCUCCUGGAUCUUUCUUGCCUUCUCAUCGAUCAAAAGAUCACGGUGUUGCAGUAAUGAGCAUAGUUAUAGAGUUGCUUGUGUUGUUGGAAAAAAAAUGUUUCUUGUAUAGAUGACAUUUUACCAAAAAAAAAAAGAGAAGAAAAUUUCAAAAAAGAUGUACUUUUCACUCUAGUAUAAUAGUAUUUCAUAACAAUAUUAAGUUGUUGCAAUUACUAAAGUUCGGUAUUUUUGUAAAUGACAUUGUUAAGUUGAUUUUUUGUUUGUUUUUGCUAGAACACUGUACACAAGGUAGAUUGUAAAGAAGAUAUGAACAUUUCUUAUUCUUCACUGAGAUUAUGACCUAAUAUUUUCAUUAGCAAAUAACAGCCUGUAUAGUGCUGUGACUGUAACACUUAAAUAGAUUUAAAGUCAUCAAUGUUACGUAGAUUAUAUAUAAAUAUAUAUAUAUAAGAACUAAAUAAUCUAUAAAUUAAGAUGUACAACUCUUCCCCAGACAAAGGACCUUUAGGUUCCACACUGAGACUUUUUAUUUGAGGCGUAUGUAUCACUAGAGUUAAGGAUUGCACUUUUCAUAUUGUUUAAAGAUGUGAUCUGUUUUUCAUUUCCUUUAAGGGUUGAGACCUUCCUGCACCCUACAGUAAAUCUGUUUAUCAAUCAAAAGCAGACUCCACCGGUAAAUAACUUUAACUCAACAUGUUGCAUGAGGAAACAAUAUUUUCUUUUCUUACUAAACGAUAACGUACUGAAUGUUUCUAGUGGGAAAAAAAAGAAGUCUGUACACAAAAAAGUCCUCAUUUGGUGACCCACAAUGCCCUUGUGUAUGGAGUCCUCUUGAGGUGUAAUGUUUUUUUGUUUUUGUUUUUAAAUGUGUUGGCAAUGAUUGACAGAUGGAAAAAGAAAAAUGUAAGCACUUUCUGAGCAGUUGGUCAACUGAGCAGACUCAGCUUAUCCAAACACUUUGCCUUAUCUUGAGUCCAUCGUGCUUAAGGUUUUAUGUUUUUAAGAGCUCUUAUGAAAUUUAUUAAAGAGACUUGAUCUCUUUUCUCGAAUCCCUUCUCAGUUUAAUUUCAAAUAUGUAUCUUUAUAUCUAAAGUCAUUUUUUAGGGUUUUAAUGUGCGCAUCACAAGGCCAAAAGAGGGGGGGGGGGGCGGGGGCUGCAACAGAGUGAACAGUCAUUGAUCUCUUCUUCUGGCCUCCAAAAAUACGUAGUGAGAUGUUUUUUUGUUCGGAGCUUGUACUUCACAGCUUUAGCCAGCAGAGGGCGCUACACUGGAGACUGCAGGUUUUGAAUUGUGACUGCCUGUGCCAUCCAUGUUGCGGUGUACCCCACCAACAAAGUAAAGACAUAAAGAUAAAUUGACAAGAAGAGACCCUCAUCGGAUUUAUAGUUUCAAUGUAAUCAUUUUUAAAUGUGUUCUUUUUUUUUUCUUUUUUUCUUUUUGCAUAUAUUUUGUGCUAUUUUAUGUUUCUAUAGUCAAAUGUUUCUUUGGUUCCAGCAAGAUAGUGUAAAAUCUAUUGAAAGAAAGAAAUAAAAAAAUCAAAGAAAUGUUUCGUGUUGAUCUUUUAUUGG